GUAUUUUCAUUUGUUUAAAUGAAGUUCAGUCAGAUAAUAAGACGUUUGUUUGUUUAGUAUUUAAAAAACUCUGGCAGAUCGAAAGACCGGGGCCCAAGGGCUCCUGCCAUUUCACUCCCUGCCAAAGCAUACGUUAACGGUGCACAGUGUGGUUGGUAAUUGGAUUACAUUUGUUAAUGAUCCUUCCGCAGGUUCACCUACGGAAA
rnacentral:misc_RNA from 1 species